CCGGCUUCUGGGCAUGCAGCCUGUGCUGUCUCACAGCGGCCCCUACUCAGAGGGGCCCGCCCUUGGUUUAAUGCUCUGCUGCUGUCAUCUUUAAACUCUUAAAAAUGUUUAAACCACAGGCCCCAAAUUUUCACUUUCACUGGACCCCGCCAGUUCCGUAGCCAGCCUAGCCUUUUUGAAGCUCUGAGAUGACUGUGAUCUGAAGAAAUCAAUGGAGCCUCCUUGAAAGACCACCUGGGAAGAAAGACUCACCUGUUUCAGCGAUCCCAGCGGAGCUCAGCUGCUGGUUGACUCAGAGUUGAAUGCAGCUGCAUGAGUUGUACCAAGUGCCACCACUUUAACCCAACCAAGUCCUGCUCAUCAUUCUGGUUGCAGCCUACAUGUCAGGAAGGAAUAAUGGAGACGUUAUAAGUAUAUGAGAGCAAAUCACUCCUAGCAUCUUUGAGGACCAGGAAGAGCCCUUUUCUCCUACUAGUAUUUUUUUCUUCAGUUAUAAAAAUGCAAAUAUAAGUUGAAAAACUU